AAUGAGUCAGAAGCAGGACUGGCGGGGCGGAGGCUGCCCCCGGCUCUGCCUGACACACCCUGCCUUGGCAGGAGCUCCUGAGUAGAUCUGGAACUUUGCAAAAGUUUGUUAGGAAGGAACCGAUUACUACUGCAUCGGGGACAUGGGGCUCGUUCAUUAAGAGCUGGCCCCAGGCGUUGCUCACAAAACAGAUCUUUUUGAUUUUUCUUUUGUCUGGGUCUGAGAACGGACCUUGUUUAUAGGGAAAUUAAAUUUUAAGGACAGACGGGAGUUUGCUUUCUAAUGAUGAAGCCCAUAACACAAAUGUUUUCAGACACCCGUGGGAGCUCAGCAUAAUGGCUCUGAGCCCAGGCUUCUGGGCAGCACCAAACCCAGCUGGAUUCCAGUCCCCACCAAGCCACGCUUCGUCUGUGUGAGGGGCACGUUUCUUCACCUCCCCGGGCCCCAGCUUCCUCGUGGCCUUCUGGUCAUCCGCAGGCGUCCACCCUGAGCGGCAGCCAAUGGUCCUCGCCACCCAAUUGCUCAAGCCAAAGCUUCAGGGAUCUUCCUUGGCUGUUCUCGCCCUCCUCCCGAAUCCGGUCCAUCAGCAAGUCCUGGCAUCUCUCAGCUUCAAAAUCUCCAAAAUAUUAAAGCUGUGUUUGCUUCUCCA